rnacentral:tRNA from 1 species
CGGGAUUUAGCUCAGCGGCAUAAGCGCCUGCCUUGCAAGCAGGCAGUCGUGAGUUUGAUCCCCAGUACCGA